rnacentral:rRNA from 1 species
UUUAAGGUCUAAUCUGCCCAAUGAUUAAUUAAAUGGCCGCGGUAUUUUGACCGUGCAAAGGUAGCAUAAUAAUUAGUUUUUUAAUUGAAAGCUGGAAUGAAUGAUUGAACGAGAAAAUAGUUGUCUCAAUUUAAUUUUAUUAGAAUUUUAUUUUUAAGUAAAAAAGCUUAAAUUUAUUUAAAAGACGAGAAGACCCUAUAGAGUUUAAUAAUUUAGUUUUAAUUUAUUUGUUAGAAUUAUUAUAUUAAUUUUAAUUAAAUUAUUUUAUUGGGGUGAUAGAAAAAUUUAAUUAACUUUUUUUUUUAUUUUUUCAUUGAUUUAUGUUAAAAUGAUCCAUUUUUUAUGAUUAUAAGAUUAAAUUACCUUAGGGAUAACAGCGUAAUUUUUUUUAAGAGUUCUUAKMRAARAAWGUAGMYYSCGACCUCGAUGUUGGAUUAAAAUAAAUGUUUGGUGUAGGAGCUAAAUAAUUAGGUCUGUUCGACCUUUAAAAUUUUACA